GAAAAAUAAUCUGACAAAUCCUGGUAUAGCAACAGUUUGCAACUUACCUGUCAGUGCUCCUAACAACCCUAAAGACCAUCAGAGAGAAAAGGUGUCUCUAGUCAGGCAUGGAGUCCUGUCUUCUCAGCAUUUGGGAGGCUGAGGCAGGAUGCUAGCUGCACGCCAAUCUGGGCUACAUAGUGAGUUCCUAGCCAGCCUGGUAUAUUAAGAAGAAGAAGAAAAAAAAAAGUCUGAGAUACUCUCAGCCGGGAGAGGCCUAAGGAGAUGUGUGGGAUCCUGGACAGAAGAGGCAUCUCGAGUAACCUUGAGGAGAUGAGAAGCCUCAGGAUGCUGGGAAUACACGGUUACCACAUUGCACCUGGUUCUAACGGUUUCAGCAAGAAUGAAUAUUUAUGUUCGGCAUCUCAAGAUGAUAAAAACACAGGCAGCUAAAACACAGCAGGAAAAGCUGCCUGAAGGUCAGAGGAUGAGGGUCUUCCACAGUACGAAGUCACAAAGAGAAUCUCCGGUCACUCUUAAGUGGAAGAAAACACACCGCCGCGUGACGAUUGCGGUCCAACGCCCAUGGGACGUUUGCAUUGUCUUCACAGGGAGUAUUGCAGCAUCGCUUUCGCUUGUUUCCAGCUGUGUUCAUCAUGACUGUAAUUGCAUGAGUCUGAGGAAGUGCGCUUGUCCCCAGGAAGCGUGACGCCACAUUCUGGCCACCGCACCCUGCAGUCUUCCCACCCUCUGCCUGGACUGUUUGUAGAGCGUAGCCCAGAGCCUUGCAUUUGCCGCCUCUAGUGGCGAAGCAGAUGGGUUACAGGGAGCUGAAUUCAGAAGGCAGAGUCCAGG
rnacentral:lncRNA from 1 species